rnacentral:rRNA from 1 species
AGCAGUCGCCACGGGAAUACGGAGGGUGCUAGCGUUGUUCGGAAUCACUGGGCGUAAAGGGCGCGUAGGCGGCCUGUUAAGUAGGAUGUGAAAGCCCGGGGCUCAACCCCGGAACUGCAUCCGAGACUGGCAGGCUUGAGACCGGGAGAGGAGGGUGGAAUAUCCAGUGUAGAGGUGAAAUUCGUAGAUAUUGGAUGGAACACCGGUGGCGAAAGCGGCUCUCUGGCCCGGAUCUGACGCUGAGGCGCGAAAGCGUGGGGAGCAAACAGGAUUAGAUACCCCCGUAGUCCCUGUCUCUUAUAA